rnacentral:lncRNA from 1 species
ACCAGCCCCAACCUGGUUCCUGGCAGCCUGAGGCUCCUGCAGCUCCAGUCUUUUCAACAAAGGUUGGCUGAAGGAGCACAGCACAUUUUAUUUAAUCAUGGUUGGAGUUCUGGUAUCCACAGGAAAAAAAUCCUGGGAGAAGAGUGCAUUUUCAUGAUCAGUGCCUACAGAGUGGUAAAAAAUGUCUGCACUUCUUUCCACUCCAGCCUGUGCCUUUGAAGUCAUGGUAACAGCUUUUGGAUCCCAAUCCUCUGAUGAGACUCCUUGAUUUAUUAGGUUAAACAUCUGGAAAAAAUGAGGACUUGUGGCAGUGUAAAUCCUCCAGAAGGAGCGGAGAGAGGUUUCAUCCAAGCAGCCCUUGUGUCAGAACGUGGGAAACCUGAGCCCUGGCCACUGGCUCGGGGGUGUGUGAGGCUGUGAAGCUCCAGCCAGGCCCGUUCCCGUUCCAGAAAGGCGCUGUGGGCAGGGAACGUCCGGCAGCGCGGGGAGCUGGGGCCACGCCAGGCCCUGCAAUGGUUUGGCAGCAGCAGAGCUGCCCUCGACAGCAGCAGGGAGCUGCUGUAAAUCCCAGAGCUCUGCGAUGUGAAUACCUGCAAAUACCUGCCUGUCACCCACACAGGAGCUGGCACCGGCCAAAGCCACCCAGGGUGGCCCUGCUGCGACUUCUCCAUCCAAGUACAACAGGAAUGUUGGAGAAGAAAACGGUUUGGAAGGAAUGGAGCCCGUGCAAGUAACAAGGACAAUGACUGAAAAGGAGCAGGAAGAACUGGAAAGCAGAGAGGAUGGAUUCUCAGGAAGGAAAAGCCCACCAGAGGUUCCUUGUGACUGUCCCUCUGUGCCACUGGAUCCCAAGGGCCCAGCUGCAGUUCUGAGCCAGGAAUCUGCCUGGUUUAGGGAGGAACCUGCUGUCCCACUUGGCAGCUCCCUGGCCCUACAGCUCAGCACAAUGCACAGAUCCCGUCCCGAGGCUGGGGCUGUUGGGAAAGGAGGCUCCAGGAGGGGAGGAGACCCCACGGUGGCCAGGGCAGCUGCUCUGCUCCGACCUGGAACCCAGCAUCACAUUCCCUUCCCUCUGCAGCGCCGCUGGCCCUUCCCAAGGGAUGAGUGUGUUUGGAUUAUCUCUCUCUGA